GGGCCCGCACAAGCAGCGGAGCAUGUUGCUUAAUUCGAGGCAACGCGAAGAACCUUACCUGGGUUUGACAUGUAKGGAAAAGCCGUAGAGAUACGGUGUCCUUUUGGGCCCUACACAGGUGGUGCA
rnacentral:rRNA from 1 species